rnacentral:rRNA from 1 species
GACGAACGCUGGCGGCGUGCUUAACACAUGCAAGUCGAACGGAAAGGCCUGCUUUCCCUUGUGGAUUGCGGGUACUCGAGUGGCGAACGGGUGAGUAACACGUGAGUGAUCUGCCCCCAACUUUGGUAUAAGCCUGGGAAACUGGGUCUAAUUCCCGAUAGGACUGCAGGGUGGUGCCUGUGGUGGAAAACGAUUUUCUAGUGGUUGGGGAUGAGCUCGCGGCCUAUCAGCUUGUUGGUGGGGUAAUGGCCUACCAAGGCGGCGACGGGUAGCCGGCCUGGGAGGGUGGACGGGCACAUUGGGACUGAGAUACGGCGCAGACUCCUACGGGAGGCAGCAGUGGGGAAGAUUGCAAGGUGGGCGGAAGCCUGAUGCAGCGACGCAGAGUGGGGGAUGACGGCCUUCGGGUGGUAAACUCCUUUCGACCGCGAGGAAGCCACCUGGUUGGAAGGGUGGUGACGGUAGUGGUAGAAGAAGCACCGGCUAACUACGUG